GUCAGGCACAGGGUCUUGUGAUGUAGUCCCAGGCUGGACUCCUCAGGGCUGGGAUCUCAGGUUUGUGCCACAACACCCCUAGAGAUGGAGACACAAAACUACGAGAAUUCAUGAACACCCAUCAGCUAGAAACAGCUGGUUCUCUCUCUUUGUUGUUUGGGGGUGAAGAGGGAAUCAUACAGUUUGGGUUGGCUUUGAACUUCUGAUCCUCUUGCUUCUGCUCCCCAAAUGCCAGGAUAACAGGGGAUGGCUCAAGACAAAGAGAAGAGAGUAAUAUCUCCACACUCCUUUUGAGAAACAGGGACAUCAUUUGAGGGAAGAAAUUCCCUUGGAAAGCAAAUAAGCCUAAGAAGACUUCACCAAAACAGUGGUGUUUUUACCCUACACCCACAGCUUGAGCAAUGCGGAAAUUGUAAUCGUACUGCAAUGAGAGUGGGAAAUAACCUGCAACUGAGCUACCAGACUCUGGUCUGUUGAUGCUGGGUGACCUUUCAAUCCUUUUCCUACUGGGCUUGUCUUUGGUUGGGAACUUCUCUGAUUUCCAGCAGUGCCCGAGGAUAAAAAUGUUUUCUGUGGAGAAUGUUUCUAUUUCCAGAAUUCUGGACAUAGAAUGUUCAGCUGAAAGGGGAUUUCAAGAGUUGUCUAUCAACCUUCUCCUGCAGAGAGAAAUUUCCUGAAAACUAUGACUUCCUAGGUCUUGCUUUUGGUUCUCCUAACAUCAUUAGGUGUUUUGUUCCAAACUCCAUUUCUUUAAAAGUUUAUUUGCCUCCUAAUUCUUUUCCUCACUGACCACUGCUGGCAUUCUCUCUCUCUCUCUCUCUCUCUCUCUCUCUCUCUCUCUCUCUCUCUCCC